AGAGAGAGAGAGAGAGAGAGAGAGAGAGAGAGAGAGAGCCGUGUAGCCCAAAACAUUUUAGCAUAGCAUAAUUUAUUCAAAUGAAAAUUAAACAAAAACUACAACAAAAAAAAACAAAACAAAUUCUCGUAAGCAAAGAAAUCCAAGCAAAAAACAAAACGCUAAAAAAAGAAUGAUCGAUAAGUGAUCGAUUCAACGGUGUGCCGAUUGUCUUGUACUCUGUCAUCGUUGAUGGAUUUCGAUAAAAAAUGCACCGAUUAUUUUGUACCUUAAUCAUUUUAGUAAGAAAAGAAAAGAAAAAACAAAACAAAAACUGUAAUAAACGAAAGAACAAUUCUUUUGCAAAACAAAACAUUUUCAUAAUUUAAGUGAGAACCGAAACUGCUUUACAUACACACACUCACACGAAUAUAGACAGGUUUCAAAAUACUCUUUCUUCUGUUUCUGCAGGCCAAAACCCAAAAAUCCAAGUGCAAGUCAAUCAAUGAAACGAUAG